CCGGCGCGGCAGGUCGGCACGCUGGUCGCGUCGCUGGUGCUGGUGCUCGGCGGGCUGGGCUGGGCGGUCCGGGCACCGUUCGUGCUGGG
rnacentral:tRNA from 1 species